rnacentral:misc_RNA from 1 species
AAGUCGUAACAAGGUUUCCGUAGGUGAACCUGCGGAAGGAUCAUUAUUGAAUAAAUUUGGUUGGGUUGUUGCUGGCUCUUAGGAGCAUGUGCACGCUCAUUCCAUCUUUAACCACCUGUGCACCUUGUGUAGAUCUGAACAACUCUCGGGGAAACUCGGUUAGAGGAUUGCUGCGUGUAAAAGCCGGCUUUCCUUGCGUUCAGAUCUAUGUCUUUAUAUACUCCAUAAGAAUGUAUUAGAAUGUAAUUGAUAGGCGUCACAGCCUUUAAAAUCAAAUACAACUUUCAACAACGGAUCUCUUGGCUCUC